CCUCUCGAUCUCAAAGCAGAUUCAACCACACCCAUCAGGCAAGGCAAUGCAACCGAUCGGCUAAUGCCUGCUGACACUGAAAACUACAUCCACUGAAAUGAGGAGCCGCAAAUUGGGUUAUUCAUCUUCACCUGGCGGUAAUCUAGUUGAUAAGCACUAUGUACGUAGAUCUCACGGGGAAUGUGAUUACUGAGAGCAAAGCCCGUGAUGCCUGAAUCACAGUAAAAGGGCCUCUGGUGAUCGCAGGGAUGGACCCCUAACCAACACAUUUGAAUAAGACAAAGAAAACAAGUCGUUUUCAUUUCUCGCAGAUGUUGUGCCUUGUGGCUCUGGUCAGGCUUUGCAUGAGCGAAUGGAAAUGGAGAAAUAAACGCGCUUGUUUUUCUGACUAAUGAGAGGACGCUGAUCCGAGUAGUGCUUGAGUGAGAUAUCAUCUGUUUCUGCUUCAGAGAAACUUGCUCUUUUUCCUUUCUUCCUCUUGCCAUACCUCGAUUGUUUUUCCCCAAGAGUAGUGUGCAUUCACCUGAGAAAUCAAGCCGGCGUAGAGAGCAGUCUGACUGUUGUAAAUAAAGAACAAAAGCUAAAGAGAUUCGGCUGUCCGUCAGCCACGGCAGGAUACAACAUUAUCUCACACCAGACUGCCUGGAAGUUGGAGCUCAUCCCCGGGGAAGCAGUCCAGUCACUUUGAAAGGAUGUCAAAGCUAAACGUGAAGAUCCGCUCCAUCACGCCUGCAUUGAGAGUACAGCGGGAUUGUUUGAAGUCCACUGAAUCACUGACGAUAAGCCUGAAGUCAAAGCAGAAACUCUCUACUGUACCCGCUUUUGUACUUUGUGUUCUUUCGUAAAGUACUUCAGGUACCUCCUCUGUAUCUUUACAUUAUUGUUUUUAAUAAACGUACAGUGAGGUGGGCUGAAA